rnacentral:rRNA from 1 species
UACGUAGGGGGCUAGCGUUGUCCGGAAUCAUUGGGCGUAAAGCGCGUGUAGGCGGCUUGGUAAGUCCGUUCUGAAAGCCCGGGGCUCAACCCCGGGAGGCGGAUGGAUACUGUCAAGCUCGAGUCCGGAAGAGGCAAGUGGAAUUCCCGGUGUAGCGGUGAAAUGCGCAGAUAUGUGGAGGAAUACCGAUGGCGAAGGCAGCCCCCUGGGCCAAUACUGACGCUCAUGCACGAAAGCGUGGGGAGCAAACAGG